rnacentral:lncRNA from 12 species
GGGGAGAGAGGAGGAGGGACCUCCCCCGCCUCCAGCCCUGCCUCGGAGGGGGCGUGCGCUCCGCCUCCCCCGCGCCCCCCUGCUGGGGGGGCCUCAGGCUGCUCCCCCUACUCCUCCCCUUCCUCCCCCCGCUCUGGGGGGGCUCAGGCUGCUCCCCCUCCUCCCCUUCCUCCCCCUGCUCUGGGGGGCUCAGGCUGCUCCUCGUCCUCCUCCCCUUCCUCCCCCUGCCCUGGGGGGGCUCAGGCUGCUCCCCCUCCUCCUCCCCUUCCUCCCCCCGCUCUGGGGGAGGGCUCAGGCUGCUCCUCCUCCUCCUCCCCUUCCUCCCCCUGCUCUGGGGGAGGGCUUAGGCUGCUCCUCCUCCUCCUCCCCUUCCUCCCCCUGCUCUGGGGGGGGCUCAGGCUGCUCCUCCUCCUCCUCCCCUUCCUCCCCCUGCUCUGGGGGGGGCCUCAGGCUGCUCCCCCUCCUCCUCUCCUUCCUCCCCCUGCCCUGGGGGGGCUCAGGCUGCUCCUCGUCCUCCUCCCCUUCCUCCCCCUGCUCUGGGGGGGCCUCAGGCUGCUCCCCCUCCUCCUCCCCUUCCUCCCCCCGCUCUGGGGGGGCUCAGGCUGCUCCCCCUCCUCCUCCCCUUCCCCCCCCUGCUCUGGGGGGCUCAGGCUGCUCCCCCUCCUCCUCCCCUUCCUCCCCCUGCCCUGGGGGGGCUCAGGCUGCUCCCCGUCCUCCUCCCCUUCCUCCCCCUGCUCUGGGGGUGCUCAGGCUGCUCCUCCUCCUCCUCCCCUUCCUCCCUCUGCCCUGUGGGGGUCAGGCUGCUCCGCCUCCCCCGCGUCCCCCUGCUCUGGGGGGCUCAGGCUGCUCCCCGUCCUCCUCCCCUUCCUCCCCCUGCUCUGGGGGGGCUCAGGCUGCUCCUCCUCCUCCUCCCCUUCCUUCCCCUGCUCUGGGGGGGCUCAGGCUGCUCCUCCUCCUCCUCCCCUUUCUCCCCCUGCUCUGGGGGGCUCAGGCUGCUCCUCCUCCCCUUCCUCCCCCUGCUCUGGGGGGGCUCAGGCUGCUCCUCCUCCUCCUCCCCUUUCUCCCCCUGCUCUGGGGGGGGCCUCAGGCAACUUCUCCUCCCCUUCCUCCCCCUGCUCUGCGGGGGCCUCAGGCUGCUCCUCCUCCUCCUCCUCCUUCUCCUUUUCCUCCUCCUCCCCUUUCCCCCCUGGCUGUGGACCGGCUCAGGCUGCUCUGGCUCCUCCUGCUGCCCCUCCCCCAGGCAGCGGGGUGGGGGUGGGGGGUGUGGUGGGCGGCUCAGCUGGGGGGUAGGCUCAGAGGAGG